rnacentral:lncRNA from 1 species
UUUGUUAUCUCUACGGCACAAGCUCUGUAGACAACUUCCCCCAAUAGUGUUAUACUCCAAACAGUAGACACAAAUAAUGUUGAAUCAAGUUUAUUAUGUAAUACAUUAAAUUUUGAUGCAAAAACAGGCGAAACAAAUGAAUGUGAUGCACCAGUGUCAAUCAAAACGUGAGCAAAUUUGUUACAGAUAGUAUACAUACCCUAUACCACGUUCGAGUCGGCUUCGGCAUCCUGUUGGGUGAGGUUGUAAGCUUUGCCCUGAAUAGGAGGUCCGCCCUGAUUUUGGUUCCUUGGGCACUCUCUCACAUAAUGUUGGGCACUACCACAUAUGUGAUAGGUGUUGUUGACGCGGUAGCAAGGUCGGUCCCAUGAUCCCUACCGCAAUGCUGAUAGAUCUUACCACGUCCUACCACUGGAGCCUGGAUCACUGGCCUGGGCCUCUUGUUCUGUUGGACAGCCACGGUAG